rnacentral:tRNA from 1 species
GGUUGUAUAGCUCAAUUGGUGAGAGCAUUCGCUUGAUAAGCGAAAGGUUGGUGGUUCGAGUCCAUCUACAACUACCA